rnacentral:lncRNA from 1 species
UAGCUAGCAUACAUGGAUUUGGAUUUGCAAAUUUAAGCUAUUACAGAUUAUUACUUAUACAUACACUUCCAGAUUCUCACAUUAUUCUACUGAACUAAUAAUAUGAUACACAUAUAACUUAACAUAAGAAAAACUAGAUAGCUUUGAGCUAUAAGACUCAUUUAAUUCAUGCUUCAAGUAUUCCGGCUACAUUGUGUACCAGUGUAAGUUUGUGUACCUGAAAUGUCAAACAGAAGAAGAAGAAGAAGAAGAAGAAGAAGAAGAAGAGAGAUCAACGGCAACAGUAAUAACAACAGCAGAAAUCCUAGUAUAGAUGAAGAAAACCAAAUAGGAAGAGUCCAGGAAUAGAUGCAAUAGGACUUUAAUACCAACAACAACUCAAACAAACCAAUUGAAAACCAGUAGUAUCAGAAAACAAAUACCAAAUAAAAAUAGAGAUGGACAGUAGCUUUUGAUUUCAAGCACUUAAGAAGAAAAUAACUGAAGCUCUCUUUUGGUAAGCUUAGCCUUAAACCUCACAAUAUCCCUUAAGUUCUGAAAUUUUGAUUGUCAAAAUCCAGUUUUCUAUUCAAAAUUUCAGUCUAUAUGUUUUACUCUCAAUGCCCUCUCUCAUUGAUUA